CUGACAUUGACACCAGCACAGUGGAAUCUUCAUCACAGGCCAAGGUAGACUCAUCAUAAUGACUUGAACUUCUAUUACAUACUGCUUCCCAUUUACUGUAAACAAGAGUUGAUCCUGGCUGGAAUCAUAGCUGCUAUGUCCAUGGAGAUGUGUGCUAGCUUGGCAAGUAGCCCCUGCAUCAUAAGGAACCUGCAGCGGCAGCAGGACUAAUCCAAGAAGAUAAGAAUAUCCUGAUCAAUUGGUGCUCUACAAAUAGGAAGAUAAUCAUACAGGAAACAAUGAAUGCCCAACAUCUGCCAUCUUGGCUCUCAUGUUGAAGGUAUCUGGAAAUGCUGUGAAGAAUUGAGUCUCUGUGGAAGCCCAUGGCCUCCUGAACAAUGUCCACUGCUCUGUGAAAAAUCCUCACUGGACGGGGUUAUGGUGACAGCAGGCCGAUCUCGAAGACACAGAGAAAAGACCAGUGUAGACUCAGGCACUGGAGAAAGACAAACCGUGACUUGUUGGGUGUGAUGAAAGGCUGGCCUCAGAUACAUAGUAAAUAUGAGAUGCUAUCAAAGACGGCAAGGGGCAUUCAUCUUGAAAUAUCCAAAAUGUUCAUUACACAAAAUCCUGCAUUCUGCUCUAAAAUUUUACUCUAAAAUCUACUAUUUCUAUCCAGAGAUGAUUACUCUGACUUUUCUUCUCAUCCUUAAGCCUUACAACGUCUAGCCAUUUUUCCAUAUUACUCAUACAUACACAUAUAUAUGCAUACUCACACAUGCACACAGCAUAGUGAGCCAUAUUACAAUGCCUCCAAGUAAAUUUCC
rnacentral:lncRNA from 1 species